rnacentral:rRNA from 1 species
CUCAACGACCGUACCGCAAACCGACACUGGUGCGCGAGAUGAGUAUUCUAAGGCGCUUGAGAGAACUCAGGAGAAGGAACUCGGCAAAUUGACACCGUAACUUCGGAAGAAGGUGUGCCCUAUUAGUGUGUAGUGAACAACGAAGCAUGAAUGGGUUGCAAAAAAUCGGUGGCUGCGACUGUUUAUUAAAAACACAGCACUCUGCAAACACGAAAGUGGACGUAUAGGGUGUGACGCCUGCCCGGUGCUGGAAGAUUAAAUGAUGGGGUGCAAGCUCUUGAUUGAAGUCCCAGUAAACGGCGGCCGUAACGAUAACGGUCCUAAGGUAGCGAAAUUCCUUGUCGGGUAAGUUCCGACCUGCACGAAUGGCGUAACGAUGGCCACACUGUCUCCUCCUGAGACUCAGCGAAGUUGAAAUGUUUGUGAUGAUGCAAUCUCCCCGCGGAAAGACGGAAAGACCCCAUGAACCUUUACUGUAGCUUUGUAUUGGACUUUGAACAGAUCUGUGUAGGAUAGGUGGGAGGCUUUGAAGCAGGGUCGCUAGAUCUUGUGGAGCCAACGUUGAAAUACCACCCUGGUGUGUUUGAGGUUCUAACCUAGGUCCAUUAUCUGGAUCGGGGACAGUGCAUGGUAGGCAGUUUGACUGGGGCGGUCUCCUCCCAAAGCGUAACGGAGGAGUUCGAAGGUACGCUAGUUACGGUCGGACAUCGUGACGAUAGUGCAAUGGCAUAAGCGUGCUUAACUGCGAGACUGACAAGUCGAGCAGAUGCGAAAGCAGGACAUAGUGAUCCGGUGGUUCUGUAUGGAAGGGCCAUCGCUCAACGGAUAAAAGGUACUCUGGGGAUAACAGGUUGAUACCGCCCAAGAGUUCAUAUCGACGGCGGUGUUUGGCACCUCGAUGUCGGCUCAUCUCAUCCUGGGGCUGUAGCCGGUCCCAAGGGUAUGGCUGUUCGCCAUUUAAAGAGGUACAUGAGCUGGGUUUAAAACGUCGUGAGACAGUUUGGUCCCUAUCUUCCGUGGGCGCUGCAGAUUUGAGGAAGCCUGCUCCUAGUACGAGAGGACCGGAGUGGACACACCUCUGGUGUAUCGGUUGUCACGCCAGUGGCAUUGCCGAGUAGCUAAGUGUGGAAGAGAUAACCGCUGAAAGCAUCUAAGCGGGAAACUCGUUUCAAGAUGAGAUCUGCCGGGGCCUUGAGCCCCCUGAAGAGUCGUUCAAGACCAGGACGUUGAUAGGUCAGGUGUGGAAGC